GAUGAACGCUGGCGGCGUGCCUAAUACAUGCAAGUCGAACGAGGUGCUUUGUAGCAAUACGAGAGUAUCCUAGUGGCGACCGGGUGAGUAACGCGUUGGUGACCUACCCCAAAGUGUGGGAUAACAGUCCGAAAGGAUUGCUAAUACCGCAUGUGGUCUUCGGAUUUAGAAACUGAUGACUAAAGGAGCAAUUCGCUUUGGGAGGGACCUGCGUCCCAUCAGCUAGUUGGUGAGGUAAUGGCUCACCAAGGCUACGACGGGUAGGGGACCUGAGAGGGUGACCCCCCACAAUGGAACUGAAACACGGUCCAUACACCUACGGGUGGCAGCAGUAGGGAAUAUUGCACAAUGGGCGAAAGCCUGAUGCAGCAACGCCGCGUGUGCGAUGAAGGCCUUCGGGUCGUAAAGCACUUUUCUGGGAGAUGAGCAAGGACAGUAUCUCAGGAAUAAGUCUCGGCUAACUACGUG
rnacentral:rRNA from 1 species